UACCAGCACCCCGAGUGGUCGGGACGUUUUAUUGGGCCUAAAGCAUCCGUAGCCGGUUCUACAAGUCUUCCGUUAAAUCCAACUGCUUAACAGGUGGGCUGCGGAAGAUACUAUAGAGCUAGGAGCGGGAGAGGCAAGCGGUACUCGAUGGGUAGGGGUAAAAUCCGUUGAUCCAUUGAAGACCACCAGUGGCGAAGGCGGCUUGCCAGAACGCGCUCGACGGUGAGGGAUGAAAGCUGGGGGAGCAAACCGG
rnacentral:rRNA from 1 species